GAUGAACGCUGGCGGCGUGCCUAAUACAUGCAAGUCGAGCGAACAUACGAGGAGCUUGCUCCUCUGACGUUAGCGGCGGACGGGUGAGUAACACGUGGAUAACCUACCUAUAAGACUGGGAUAACUUCGGGAAACCGGAGCUAAUACCGGAUAAUAUAUUGAACCGCAUGGUUCAACAGUGAAAGACGGUUUUGCUGUCACUUAUAGAUGGAUCCGCGCCGCAUUAGCUAGUUGGUAAGGUAACGGCUUACCAAGGCAACGAUGCGUAGCCGACCUGAGAGGGUGAUCGGCCACACCGGAAAUUAGACACGGGCCAGACUCCCAAGGGGGGCAGCAGUAGGGAAUUUUCCGGAAUGGGGGGAAGCCUGACGGAGCAAAGCCCGGUGAGGGAAGAAGGUUUUCGGGUCGUAAAACCCUGUUAUUAGGGAAAAAAAAAAGUGUAAAUAACUAUGCACGUCUUGACGGUACCUAAUCAGAAAGCCCCGGCUAAAUACGUG
rnacentral:rRNA from 1 species